UACGGAGGGGGCUAGCGUUGUUCGGAAUUACUGGGCGUAAAGCGCGCGUAGGCGGCUUUGUAAGUUAGAGGUGAAAGCCCGGAGCUCAACUCCGGAAUUGCCUUUAAGACUGCAUCGCUAGAAUCAUGGAGAGGUGAGUGGAAUUCCGAGUGUAGAGGUGAAAUUCGUAGAUAUUCGGAAGAACACCAGUGGCGAAGGCGACUCACUGGUCCGGUACUGACGCUGAGGUGCGAAAGCGUGGGGAGCAAACAGG
rnacentral:rRNA from 1 species